UAAAGGACGGGUUCAUAAUUUAGGGCGGGAAAUACGUGGAGCUGUUUCGCUGCUUCAGCUCUUGUCAUGUCCAUAGAUGAGGAAAGAGGCUAUAAUCGCUGUUUUUUCCGCCACAAAUUUGCUAUGGCAGGAGGAGCGUUAUUCAACGCGUGCCUGAAAGGCCACCUCACGCCUUUGUAUCUCUUCAUCUGGAUUCUAUAUAUUGCCUCCUGGAUUCAUCUCUCAACUCUCCUCUGAGCUCUUCCUCUGGUCCUCUACUUGGAUAGGAGGAAGGCCAGCUAGGGCCUCUGACAUUAGGAAGAAGUGUAUAUUUGAAGAACACUAGAACUCUCUACUCAAGCUAUGGAUAUUUCUGCCAUCUGUUAAGAUAA